CAUUCGUAUUUACAUAGUGUUAAAGAACUAUUAAAAUUAAAGAAACUGUAGUAUUAAAAUCUGCAAAAAGAGCCAAAAAUAUUCAAAAGUAUGAUCAUAAUCAACCUACGUUAUUAGAGUUUACUUCAGUCAAAAAGAUACAAGUCAAGAUGAACUUGAUAUUUUAGUCCAAAAUGUUAUUGUGAAUGCAUGUUUACCCUUUAGCAUAGUUGAUCAUUUUGAUUUCAAAACUCUAAUUCAAUUUCAAAAAGGCUUUCCUGGGAGAACACUUAUGUCUUGUCCAACUUUAAUGAAAAGAUUAAAUACCCAGUUCCAACACCAUUUAAUCCGUCUUAAAGAAGAAAUGACUAAUAUUGAAUAUCUUACUACUACUGCUGACUGCUGGUCAAUAUUUAAAAGAUCAUACAUAGGCAUUACUUGUCAUUGGAUACUUGAUGAAGAUUUAACUAGAAAAUYAUGUGUAUUGACAGUAAAACGAUUGGAGGGGAAACAUACAUUUGAUGUAUUAGCAAAAUAAA